AGGCUCUGCAGUCUCCUGUGGGAAGAUCUGCAUGGACCCAGCAUCCUUGCUACAGAACCCUGGGACUGCAGGCUUUUGUCAGGAGAUGAUCCAUUAGUCGCCAUCAAGACCCAAAUAGACCGGUCGCCAAUGAGAACGUCGGUCUUCCACAAGCCCGCCUCCACAGAACUGCAGGCCUUGUCGGGCCUCAUCUAGCCUCCUCAUGGGAACAAGUUCUGAUGUUCGGACCUGACCUUGACGAGCGUGCACCUUGUCAUUCUCCUGGAGAAG